GACGAACGCUGGCGGCGUGCUUAACACAUGCAAGUCGAACGGAAAGGCCCUGCCUGCAGGGUACUCGAGUGGCGAACGGGUGAGUAACACGUGGGUGAUCUGCCCUGCACUUCGGGAUAAGCCUGGGAAACUGGGUCUAAUACCGGAUAGGAGCCAUUUUUAGUGUGAUGGUUGGAAAGUUUUUUCGGUGUAGGAUGAGCUCGCGGCCUAUCAGCUUGUUGGUGGGGUAAUGGCCUACCAAGGCGGCGACGGGUAGCCGGCCUGAGAGGGUGGACGGCCACAUUGGGACUGAGAUACGGCCCAGACUCCUACGGGAGGCAGCAGUGGGGAAUAUUGCACAAGGGGCGCAAGCCUGAUGCAGCGACGCCGCGGGGGGGAGGACGGCCUUCGGGUUGUAAACUCCUUUCGCUAGGGACGAAGCUUUUUGUGACGGUACCUAGAUAAGAAGCACCGGCUAACUACGUG
rnacentral:rRNA from 1 species